rnacentral:rRNA from 1 species
UACGAAGGGGGCGAGCGUUAUUCGGAAUCACUGGGCGUAAAGCGUGCGUAGGCUGCUUUGCAAGUUGGGAGUGAAAUGCCAGGGCUCAACCUUGGAACUGCUCUCAAAACUGCAAGGCUAGAGUCCGGGAGAGGAUAGCGGAAUUUCCAGUGUAGUAGUGAAAUACGUAGAUAUUGGAAGGAACACCAGUGGCGUAAGCGGCUAUCUGGACCGGUACUGACGCUGAGGCACGAAAGCGUGGGGAGCAAACAGG